GAUGAACGCUGGCGGCGUGCCUAAUACAUGCAAGUCGAGCGAAUGGACGAGAAGCUUGCUUCUCUGAUGUUAGCGGCGGACGGGUGAGUAACACGUGGAUAACCUACCUAUAAGACUGGGAUAACUUCGGGAAACCGGAGCUAAUACCGGAUAAUAUUUUGAACCGCAUGGUUCAAAAGUGAAAGACGGUCUUGCUGUCACUUAUAGAUGGAUCCGCGCUGCAUUAGCUAGUUGGUAAGGUAACGGCUUACCAAGGCAACGAUGCAUAGCCGACCUGAGAGGGUGAUCGGCCACACUGGAACUGAGACACGGUCCAGACUCCUACGGGAGGCAGCAGUAGGGAAUCUUCCGCAAUGGGCGAAAGCCUGACGGAGCAACGCCGCGUGAGUGAUGAAGGUCUUCGGAUCGUAAAACUCUGUUAUUAGGGAAGAACAUAUGUGUAAGUAACUGUGCACAUCUUGACGGUACCUAAUCAGAAAGCCACGGCUAACUACGUG
rnacentral:rRNA from 1 species